CAAUCCUGUAUAAUAUGUACCAUCUCUGGUGCAGUAAUCAAUUCUCUGUUUCAUGUAGCAAGCCCUUUCUGGAAUGAAAACGCCUGAGGAAAGUGAUGUUUUGGAAGGGAAUCUGUUGUGCUGACUGCCUGCCAAACCCACAGCCUGCUGCUUGGAAGCAAUCCUAGGGGCUUCUCAUGCAUAGGUGGAAUUUUGAUUCUGAGGUCCUGGCUGUAAUUGACUGGACGUGGGGUGGAUAUCUGAACUGAGGCUGGCUCCUCAGAGGCAGGGACCAGAGAAUGUGUACUCUCUCACCACAGACUCCUUUUAGGAGUACCUGAACAGUGCCUCAGAGACUAAUUCAGGUCAGUUUCCCCUGUUGGACCAGAAACUCCUUGAGGACGUAGCCAUGUCUUAUUCAUCUCUGUAUCCCACCGCCUAGGACAAUAGGCAGCUCAAUAAAUGCUUAAUAAACCUUUCAAAC
rnacentral:lncRNA from 1 species